ACCGGCAGCUCAAGUGGUGGCCAUUUUUAUUGGGCCUAAAGCGUUCGUAGCCGGUUUGAUAAGUCUCUGGUGAAAUCCCGCAGCUUAACUGUGGGACUUGCUGGAGAUACUAUUAGUCUUGAGGACGGGAGAGGUUAGUGGGAUUCCCAGGGUAGAGGUGAAAUGCUAUGAUACUGGGAGGAACACCUGUGGCGAAGGCGGCUACCUGGAACGAACCUGACGCUGAGGCACGAAAGCCUGGGGCGCGAACCG
rnacentral:rRNA from 1 species